ACCCAGUUCAAACUUCCCAGUGGCUUUGUUUACACUGUAUUUAUGAAGUCAUACCACUUACCAGGCAACAAUCAUUUUUCUAAGAACUGGAGAUACAGCAAUGAGGAAGACAGAGGCCCAACCUUGGUUUUACUUCCUCAGGAGAUGACCUUCAGGCCUCUCAGGAAAAGUAUCAAGAACUGAAACUCAUCAGAUAAGCACAUCCAGAUAAUGAGAUGUGGGCCUCCUCAUUCCUCGUGAUUGCUUCCUUGCUCCUCCUUAGUUCCUACUUUCUUAUACGUUGUUACAUUUUUUCCCUGUGAUGUAAACCCCUAGUUUUAGUGGGUCAGGGAGAUGGGUUUGAGACUGAGCUCCCAUGUUCUUGACUGCAGCACCCAAAAUUAAAGCCUUCUUCCUUGGCAAUAAUUGUUAUGUCAAUGAUUGACUUUCUGUGCUAUGGAAAACAGGAGCUAGACCAAAGCCCUGGUGUUUCAGUAACACAAGCAUUUUCUAUAUCUUUUUUUUUU